rnacentral:rRNA from 1 species
AUACGGAGGGUGCGAGCGUUAUUCGGGAUUACUGGGCGUAAAGCGCGUGCAGGCGGGUGGAAAAGUCUGAUGUGAAAGCCCCGGGCUCAACCUGGGAAGUGCAUUGGAAACUGGGGGACUUGAGUACGGGAGAGGGUAGUGGAAUUCCUAGUGUAGGAGUGAAAUCCGUAGAUAUUAGGAGGAACACCGGUGGCGAAGGCGGCUACCUGGACCGAUACUGACGCUGAGACGCGAAAGCGUGGGGAGC